CUUUUGCUUGGUGCACUUCUCGUGUGGAGGGGGCCAGCAUCGAUUUUGGUCGUCGGAUAAUGGCGGGAGGAAUGUGGCACCUUUCGGGGUGUGUUAUAGCCUCUNGUCGCAUACGGCGGCCGGGAUCGAGGACCGCAGCGCGCCUUUGGUCGGGGGUUCGCCUCACGCGACGCGCUUAGGAUGCUGGCAUAAUGGCUUUAAACGACCCGUCUUGAAACACGGACCAAGGAGUCUAACAUGCCUGCGAGUGUUUGGGUGGUAAACUCAGGCGCGUAAUGAAAGUGAAAGGUUGGGAGCCCNCGAGGGUGCACCGACGCCCGAUCCUGACGUUCUCUGACGGAUUUGAGGCAGAGCAUGUAUGUUGGGACCCGAAAGAUGGUGAACUAUGCCUGAAUAGGGUGAAUCCAGAGGAAACUCUGGUGGAGGCUCGU
rnacentral:rRNA from 1 species